CCUACGGGAGGCAGCAGUGAGGAAUAUUGGUCAAUGGGAGAGAUCCUGAACCAGCCAAGCCGCGUGAGGGAAGACGGCCCUAUGGGUUGUAAACCUCUUUUGUCGGAGAACAAAACCCGGGACGUGUCCCGGACUGCGUGUAUCCGAAGAAAAAGCAUCGGCUAACUCCGUGCCAGCAGCCGCGGUAAUACGGAGGAUGCGAGCGUUAUCCGGAUUUACUGGGUGUAAAGGGCGUGUAGCCGGGCAGGCAAGUCAGAUGUGAAAUCCAUGGGCUCAACCCAUGAACUGCAUUUGAAACUGCUUGU
rnacentral:rRNA from 1 species